UUUAAAUACAACAAUAAGUUUCCGCGUCCAACUUUAAUCAUCCGUCUUAUUUAAAAGUUUUUUUAUAAUUAGUAUUUUUAUUGUUAUGAGAUGAUAAAAUAUGAAUAGUACUUUACUCGUAACUUAUGUUUUUAUUUUUUUAAAAAAUAUUUAAAUAAGACGGACGGUCAAAGUUGGGCACGAAAAAUCAUGGCUGCACUUAUA
rfam:Oryza meridionalis cultivar OR44 (W2112) chromosome 3, whole genome shotgun sequence.